rnacentral:RNase_P_RNA from 1 species
CCCGCAGGCCGCCUUAUCGCUCCGUCUCACGGGGAGGAAAGUCCGGACACCACAGGGCAGCAUAGCGGGUAACGCCCGUCACUGUGCCGCAGGGCGCGGGAGGACAAGUGCAACAGAAAGUAUGUACAGGUAAUGCUGUAGUGAAACCAGGUAAACUCUAUGCGGUGAAAUGCCAAGUAUACCGGCAAUUAAGGGCUGCCCGCCCAAUGCCGGAGGGUAGGCAGAUAGAGCGUAACAGUAAUGUUGCGCCCAGAUAAAUGAUAAGGCUUCUAAAUUUAUUUAGUUGACAGAAUCCGGCUUACAGGCCUGCAUUAUUU